CUGGCAAUAGGCACAAUCAUGCCUCAAGGAUUCCCUCCUCACUCCAAACCAAGCCCAGAGAAAGAAGAGGGGAAAGGAGAAGGAAGCAGGCUGCGGGGGCCAAUGUGGAUAAGGAACUGAGAUGCAGAGAGCUUCAGAAACUUGCCAAGGCUGGAAGAGAUGGUGCCAGGCAAUCUGACUGGAGACCCUGCAGUCUUCCUUGGGGAUUCCAAGGAUGAGAACAGGAAUACCUGCACUCAGAGAAACCAAGAGCCUGAGGGAUCGAGUCACUCAUACAGUAGAACCAACAAGUUUCAGAUCCAUGCACGUUCCUGGAUGUACAACGAAUCCCUUGUUUCCAACUCUUACAAAAUGUGGUAUAGCUACCACAUCUUACCCACCUCGCGCCCAGAGAUGACAUCAAGUUCCUGGCACCACCACCACGAUUGCCACAGUGCUGGGGUGCACAAUCUUCCACAUCCCUUCCUGGGCCAGUCUGAGAGGGACCUCAGGCUUACAGGAUCUGACCUGAAUUCCAGUUCAUACCCUACUCCCCAAGACUCUCCCAGAUGGUGCGCCAUCAUAUCCUUGCACAACUUGCUGCUAUCCAGCUUCCUAAUUCCUGCCAGUCUGGUCCUUGUAAAGUGAUAUCUCACUAUUUCUUUGGCAUCACUCUGAUUAUUUAGGAAUUGGAGUAACUCUUCAUAUGUUUGGGGGACACUUAAAUUCUCUGGAUUGGCCUCAUCAGACUGAGAGUGAAAGAGGAAAGAUCAGCCCACUUAACCAGCCUGAGCCAUCACCUGCCUGCAGGAAUAGAUGUUCCCCUUGCCUAGUGCUGCAAGUGGAGUAGAGCAGAGAAUACAUCAUGCAAUUCCAGGGGAGGCCAGAUAAAAGCAGCUUAAAGGCGGCCUGGGCUUGUUGAGAACCAGGCAAUGUUAUACAUUUUUCCACCCUUGCCCUUUUGUAUCUGGGUGAACUGGCUUCUCUAAAGGCAAUAUGACUUGCCUAAGGUCGCAUGGCUAGUAAGUGCCAAAGCCAGAUCUAGUCCCAGGACUCCUACGGGAAUCUCUUGUGACACGUGGCCACCUUUAUUUAUCUGUCUGGAGCAAUCAGAGGAGGACCCUUGGAGGAGGAACAAAUUACACUGGAUGCUGAAGGAUGGAGACCUUUCAUGAGGGCAGCCAGAGCACAUGGUAUGAGAAAGAAUUGCCAGGGCCUGGAGCACACCAGUUGUGGGGAUCUCAUCUUCCUGAAGAGAGCCUGUUGGAGGUGUUCUGGGAAGGGAGCAUAAAGAACAGCCGAGGAAAUGCAGAAUGAAUCCUCUGUCCUCGCUCCCUUGCCCCUUCUACAAAGCCCUGGGAGUCUCUCCUCCCUACGGCUCUCUGUGCCCCCAGAUUUAUUUUGCUUUCUUUCGCUAAAUCAAACUUUAUCAGACAGUUUUACUGUCAGCCAUUAAACCAAAAUGUGUUUGUGCAACAGUAAACACCUUGUUACUGCAGGGAAGGAUUACAUAAACAACAGCCGGGUGAGGCUCGAUGGGCUGUGCCCAGGAGCCUGAAGCCUCCUGGUCAGGAUGGAGGAGGCACAUGGAAGGGCACCUAGAGGCAUCCUAGAGCUGGAAGGCAGGGGAUAGGACUCACUCUGGCCUGGGCUUCCACUGCAGAACCGGGUAACAGGCAUGUAUCCUCUCAUCAGAAGAGUAGGCUGCUCCAGAGUCCUCACAGGGGACGCAGCCCUUGCCACAGACCUGGGGAGGAGCAGGAAGAAGGUACAGGGACCAGACCGGCCAGGAAGGGGAAGCCCAGGCAGGGGGCAGUGGGGCGGGGUUCAGGUUGAGAUUGGUAUUUGGUGAGAUAAUUAUGGGUUGGGGGCUAAACAGGGGUGGGAACAAGAUAAAGGCCAGAAGGAGUUAAGAAAGAAAGUGAAGGGUUAGUUCAGGCCCUGGUGACUGCUUAGCCCUGAGUGGUUGGCCACGGAGGGGAAAGCUCAAGGCCCCUUUCAGGAUGUCUACACUGCCUUGGGAUGAGUGGCAGAGAGGGACGUGACCAAAGGCAGGGCCAGCAGGCAUGGGCAGCCCGACACUUCAGGUCUCAGGGCCCCUCUUAGAACGCAGCCCUCUCCACUCUCUCCCUCUCAGGACUGCGUGGGGGUGUGUGCUAGCUGGAGAGCCCUGGCUAUGAGCUGUCUGUCUGAAGACCUUGAGGACACUAAGAGGGAAGGUGAACACAGGUCACGUGAUUGCCCCAGCUGGCCACCAGGGACUGUGCUAGGAGCUUCUGCCCUGCCAGCGGUAAUUCAUUUUGAUUCUGACACCUCCACUUUGAAACAGAAAUUAUUAUCCUUUUAU